UACGUAGGGUCCAAGCGUUAAUCGGAAUUACUGGGCGUAAAGCGUGCGCAGGCGGUUCGCCAAGUCAGGUGUGAAAUCCCCGGGCUUAACCUGGGAAUUGCGAUGGAGACUGCAAGGCUAGAAUCUGGCAGAGGGGGGUAGAACUCCACGUGUAGCAGUGAAAUGCGUAGAGAUGUGGAGGAACACCGAUGGCGAAGGCAGCCCCCUGGGUCAAGAUUGACGCUCAUGCACGAAAGCGUGGGGAGCAAACAGG
rnacentral:rRNA from 1 species